ensembl:lncRNA
UUUUUUUUGUUUUGUUUUUUUUUUGAAUUGCUGGCCUGAAUGUCCAUCAUGGCCAGGGACAGAAGCCCUCACCUUCCUGAGCUGCAGGCUUUCAGUGGGUUAGCAAACAGAUUGGAAGGGGUUGGGGAUACUCCAUGGAUGUCUUUCAUCCCCCUGGAGAGGCAGAGUGUGCGGCAGGGAGGCAGCCUGGACUGAAUCCAGCUUUGCCGGUCACUGGCGCUAUGAGCUUGGGCCUGUUUCCAGUUAUCUUGAUGUGUCAGCUGGGGAGAAUCACGAAUUAUCCACAAGAUGGAAAUCGGGGUCAUGAGAAUACAAUGAAUUAAAGAAGGGUGCCCGGCACACAGUAGGCAUGCAAGGAAGAUCAGCUUCGUUCCCGUUCUUACAUUCACUGCCGACGUGAAGAGCACGUCAGGUACUGUCACCCACACGCUCGCCGUGGCACAGUGAACGCUGCCUGGGCUUCCGGAUAGUCUGCGGUGUAGCUCACUCCUUUGAUUCCCGUCAGCCCACCCACGUUGGAAUAGACGCUUUGUAAAGGUUCAAAGAUGAGAAGAGUGGACCUGGAGAAGGUUAGUGACUGGCUCAAAGUCACACAGCCAAGUAAGGGUGGACUUGGGGCUGGAACCCAGUGCUGUGCCCACCCGCUAUCCAUGCCUGCUGCCCCAGCACUCCUGGGGACAUGCGUGUCAUGGUGCUGUGUGCGUGGGGAUGCAGAGGGCUGCUGGGGAUGAGGAUGGAGCUGGGCUUCACGCUCAUGGGUGGCCUGGCAGAUGUUGAACCUAACCCUAAUCCUGCCCGCACGCAGCGCAGUGGAAGGGUGCGGAACCCCGACCUACGUGGGAUCCUGGGUCCUGCAGCCUUUUCCUUCUGCCCGUGGUCUGAUGUGAUCUACGGGCAAAUCGGAAGGUCAUAAAAAUAGCCCUGCCUGGCACACCAGGGGCCCAGGGGGCUGCCGCUGCUCGCUGGGAUUUCAGUGGGAGGCAGAAGCUGCAGAGACAGGGGUAAAAAUAGCAAGGGUUUCCACAACAGCCCUGCACUCCAGCAUUUGACACGGCAGCACACGAGAUCCUCCACUGCACUGGAAUCUUAAAGGUUCCUGUCCUUGGAGAUACCCUGUCUUGCCAGGAAAAUGAGGAGCUCGUAGCUGCACACGGCAGAGGCUCCACCUUCCCUGAAGUCCUCAAAUCCCCCACAUCAGGCUGACUAGGAAGGCCAGAAGUGGGUGAGGGCUGAACUUCAAAGCAAAAGGGUUGGUCCCUUCCCAGUGGGUGAGCCCAGGCAGGUUCCUCAACCUGAGAUUCAGCUUCUGCAUCAGGAAGAGGCAGGCAGACAAGAACAGCUCCUGCUGGAAGGCGGAGCCAGAACCAUUGGACCGCUGGAACCAGCUCCAAGCAGGCACGGUCCACGUUGCCCCUAGAUGCCGCUGCAUCCCCAGGGCCUGGCACCCAGGAGAUGCCCAUAAACACCGACUACCUGCACGCACGUACUUAUAAAGUACUGUACAGAGUGCCAUGGUCAUUUCUGAUGUAGGGGUCAUCACCUUGUCUAACUAUCACAAAAUGGAUGUGACCCAGGGACACCUCCAGAGGCUACAGAGAAUGACCCCGGGGUCUGGCGU